rnacentral:rRNA from 1 species
UACAGAGGGUGCAAGCGUUAAUCGGAAUUAUUGGGCGUAAAGCGCGCGCAGGCGGUCCUUUAAGUCUGAUGUGAAAGCCCACGGCUCAACCGUGGAGGGUCAUUGGAAACUGGGGGACUUGAGUACAGAAGAGAAGAGUGGAAUUCCACGUGUAGCGGUGAAAUGCGUAGAGAUGUGGAGGAACACCAGUGGCGAAGGCGACUCUUUGGUCUGUAACUGACGCUGAGGCGCGAAAGCGUGGGGAGCAAACAGG